AAUGAACGUUGGCGGCAUGGAUUAGGCAUGCAAGUCGAGCGAGAACCAGUUCUUCGGAACUGGGGAAAGCGGCGAACGGCGUAGUAAUGCGUAGGAACGUACCCCUCGGUCGGGAAUAACCACGGGAAACUGUGGAUAAUGCCCGAUGAUCUCUGCGGAGCAAAGGUGAGAUUCCGCCGGGGGAGCGGCUUACGUGAUAUUAGCUUGAUGGUGGGGUAAUGGCCCACCAUGGCAAUGAUGUCUAGGGGGUGUGAGAGCAUGGCCCCCACGACCGGAACUGAGACACUGUCCGGACACCUACGGGUGGCUGCAGUCGAGAAUCUUCGGCAAUGCGCGAAAGCGUGACCGAGCGAUGCCGCGUGGUGGAUGAAGGCCCUUGGGUUGUAAACACCUGUCAGAGGGGAUGAAAUCCUGGUUGGCUAUCCUUCCAGGUUGACAAAGCCUCAAAGGAAGCACGGGCUAAGUACGUGCCAGCCGCCGCCGUAACAC
rnacentral:rRNA from 1 species